GCAAACCACCGAUCAACGUACCUGGUAGGCAAUUCAAGAGAUUACGAAUUGAUUUGAAUCCAAACAAAAAUGUAAUAAAAACAAAAAAAUAAAUAGCAGGAAAAAAUGAAAUUAUGAUUCAAACAAUACCUCCAAUUCAACCAAAACCUCUUUGUGGAAAGAUUAAAUACUCGAGUUCCAGUUGAUGGAAAAGGUUGACGGAUUAAAUGCGGAAUAAGCUCGGCCCUUUGGUAUAUAUAUGUGCAAACGAGCUAUAACGUACCAAACAAACUGGGAAAGAAAAAAAAAAUUUCUUUUACUUUUUGUUGCUUUUUAAAAAGAAAUUGUAUAUAGUACAGUUUUUGUGUAGUAUUUUUAAGAUGGAAAUUUUUCACUCAAUUCAAGAAUGUAGUUGGGCUUCUAUAUAGUUUCUCCUUUGGCUGUUUACAUAUACAUAGCCAAAACAAAGUCUUAUGUCAUAGUUAGCUUCGGUAAUGAGUAUGGUUGGAAAAUUCCCUUAUCCGAUUACACUCUCGCUGGCUAACCAUUAUAGCAAAGCGUAACGAAAUCUAGCGUACCUUGAAAUGUAUAGAAUGGAGUUAGGUAAAGAAAGCAUUUGGAGAACCCAAAACACACAGCUAAAUAUGUUAAUUGGAGACAAUUGUUUUUUAUUCCCAAACACAGUUUUUAUUAACCUUGAAGUUAACAUAGAUUUGUAGUCAGCUUGAGAACGGAUGCAAGAACUCAUUUGAUAUGUUCAAGUCAAUGCAAGCGAAUAUGAAUGAUUUUGAGUCACAUGGGUGAUUGAUAGAUAGUGUGUAUUCGGAGUCGGUUGCAUUGUUAAUUCCUACAAAUUACUCUUUCCAAAUGCCGCCCCCUUUUCAUCUUUCUUUUCUUCUUAUUUAAUUAUCUUCCAUCUUCUUCCUCUUGUAUUUGCUACCCAAUAACACUAUUACCUAGCAAUUGUUUACGUCUGCAUUUUUACUAAGCAUUCCUUUGCUACACGUAAUAAUAUACAUUUAUAAGAUUUAGCCGCCCAAGGUAAAGGAUGUAAGGAUGUGAAAACCGGUAGCGUAGAGCAAAAGGAGGAUAUGGUGGAAUUGCAGCAAAAUAUCGCUUGACCUUGUAUGAAGUAGAAAAAAAGUUAAAAUAAGAAGAUAAUCAUUUUGGGCAAAAUUCAAUGUAUUUGUAAAAAUUAUAAUAAAAGUCGAAGAGGCGAAAAGAGGAAAUAUGUACAAAGGAAUUUGGAUAAAGACGCAGUAGAAGUAGAUGGAAAUUGGUUCCUUAGUUUUGUAAGUUUAAUUUCUUUGUUUGAGAAUUUCGACAAAGAAAAGCUAUUUCGGAGGGAAAUUUUCUUUUUCUUUUGCUUUUUCGGAUCUUUGUUACAACACAUUUAAUUUCUUCAUCAGGGUGAAACUUUGCGUCACUGCGAUUCCUACGUUUUGCGCUUUAAAAAUUAAUUUUCUUGCCGACCGCUUUCACAAACCUCAGAGACGGCAGAUAGUAAAGCGCACAGAAACUCUUAGUAGAGAAGAGAAUGGGGCGUAAAAAGCCAGUCAGUAGAUAAUUAAAAGAAAGAAAGGAAGCAGUAGGAAAACAUUCAACGGAGUGGUAUGAUAAAGGAAGAGUAAUAAGACAAAAAAAAGAGGAAUUGAUCAUAAAAACAUCUGGUUUCUUAAAAAGGAUUGGCUACAGGCAUUAUGCAACUAGUUACUGGUAUUUAGACGAUUAGUCCUAAACAAACGGAGACAGAAAUGAGCAUAGCCAUUAUUUAUGCAACACCUCAUUAUUUAUGCAAUACCGCCGAAAAAUAUAGAAACGCACAAAUCAAAAGAAGCGAAAGAAAUCCAAAAGCUCUAGCAAAGUGAGCGUUUGUUGUCAAGAUGUAAACCAAGUCUUAUGCUACCGCAUUCUAAGUUCUUCCUAUAUAAUCUAUAGAGGGUGGAAGUACCAACAUAGUUCAUUGAAGUUGUUUUUGAGCAACAUUCUGACUGCAACUCAUAACAUACAUCGCCAAAACAUUUUUUUUUUCUUUGCAUUUGCAGCUCGAUUAAAACAUUCUAUUAUCCUUGCUUGUUUCUUGGCACAUGUGAACUAUGAGUGACACCGUUCUUUGUUUAUUAAUUUGUCAUUGGUCGACCAUCAAAUGAGUGCUUUGUCGAAGUUUGCCAAAAAAAAAGCUUUAAAAGAUGGUUUUGAUUUCUUCCUUUAACUUCCCUUCUAUUUUGUCUUUUCCUUUAAUUACCCUAGAAUAAUCAUAGAUGCAAUUGCAAUGUUCUACCGCUUCUUUCUCGAAAAUGCGUUGAAUGAACCAGAAUUGGAACGGUUCGUUGAACCAUUCAUUUUCGACGUCUUUUUUCAAUGUAGCCGCUUCUUCUUUUCUUCUUUACUCUAUAUGCUUUCGUAUAUUUCCGUCUUCUUUGCAUUUCCCUACAUGUUUGUAUAAAUAGUCACACUUCCAUGUUUGUUUACAUGACACGUAUUGUUUGUUUACGAUCCACUGUAACUACCAAUUAUAUCCUAUCAAAUGAGUUACCUCUCGUCUCCACUUUCUCCAUCGCUUGUUACUACAUGUUUCUUCAAGUCACAGUUGCUGUUGCUUGUCUCGUAAAAAACCGGUCACACCGCUACCAUAUAUAGUGGGAUAGCUUAUUCAUUACAAAUCAGAGCAAUAUCCAAUUCAU
rnacentral:lncRNA from 1 species